rnacentral:rRNA from 1 species
GCUGGGUUGGAUGAGUGGCGAACGGGUGAGUAACACGUGAGUAACCUGCCCCCUUCUUUGGGAUAACGGUCGGAAACGGCUGCUAAUACCGGGUAUUCACUGUCCUUCGCAUGGGGGGUGGUGGAAAGGUUUUUCUGGUGGGGGAUGGGCUCGCGGCCUAUCAGCUUGUUGGUGGGGUGAUGGCUUACCAAGGCUUUGACGGGUAACCGGCCUGAGAGGGUGACCGGUCACAUUGGGACUGAGAUACGGCCCAGACUCCUACGGGAGGCAGCAGUGGGGAAUAUUGCACAAUGGGCGAAAGCCUGAUGCAGCGACGCCGCGUGAGGGAUGACGGCCUUCGGGUUGUAAACCUCUUUCGCUCAUGGUCAAGCCGCAACAGUGGUUGUGGUGAGGGUAGUGGGUAAAGAAGCACCGGCUAACUACGUGCCAGCAGCCUCGGUAAUACGUAGGGUGCGAGCGUUGUCCGGAAUUAUUGGGCGUAAAGGGCUUGUAGGCGGUUUGUCGCGUCUGCCGUGAAAUCCUCUGGCUUAACUGGGGGCGUUCGGUGGGUAC